UACGUAGGGUGCAAGCGUUAAUCGGAAUUACUGGGCGUAAAGCGUGCGCAGGCGGUGAUGUAAGACAGGUGUGAAAUCCCCGGGCUUAACCUGGGAACUGCAUUUGUGACUGCAUCGCUGGAGUGCGGCAGAGGGGGAUGGAAUUCCGCGUGUAGCAGUGAAAUGCGUAGAUAUGCGGAGGAACACCGAUGGCGAGGGCAGCCUCCUGGGCCAACACUGACGCUCAUGCACGAAAGCGUGGGGAGCAAACAGG
rnacentral:rRNA from 1 species